UACGAAGGGGGGCUAGCGUUGCUCGGAAUGACUGGGCGUAAAGGGCGCGUAGGCGGAUUGUACAGUCAGGCGUGAAAUUCCCGGGGCUCAACCUGGGGGCUGCGCUUGAGACGUGCGAUCUUGAGUGGGGAAGAGGGUCGUGGAAUUCCCAGUGUAGAGGUGAAAUUCGUAGAUAUUGGGGAAGAACACCGGUGGCGAAGGCGGCGACCUGGUCCUUGACUGACGCUGAGGCGCGAAAGCGUGGGGAGCAAACAGG
rnacentral:rRNA from 1 species